AUCCGAGAAAUUUUGAGAAAAAUGGUGCAAUUUGGUGCAUUCUGAGAGCACUUUGGUCAGUUUUUCUUGGUGUAAAACACAGUGGUAUUUGA